rnacentral:rRNA from 1 species
CGUGCUUAAACAUGCAAGUCGAACGAUGAAGCCCUUCGGGGUGGAUUAGUGGCGAACGGGUGAGUAACACGUGGGCAAUCUGCCCUUCACUCUGGGACAAGCCCUGGAAACGGGGUCUAAUACCGGAUAAUACUCCUGCCUGCAUGGGCGGGGGUUGAAAGCUCCGGCGGUGAAGGAUGAGCCCGCGGCCUAUCAGCUUGUUGGUGGGGUAAUGGCCCACCAAGGCGACGACGGGUAGCCGGCCUGAGAGGGCGACCGGCCACACUGGGACUGAGACACGGCCCAGACUCCUACGGGAGGCAGCAGUGGGGAAUAUUGCACAAUGGGCGAAAGCCUGAUGCAGCGACGCCGCGUGAGGGAUGACGGCCUUCGGGUUGUAAACCUCUUUCAGCAGGGAAGAAGCGAAAGUGACGGUACCUGCAGAAGAAGCGCCGGCUAACUACGUGCCAGCAGCCGCGGUAAUACGUAGGGCGCAAGCGUUGUCCGGAAUUAUUGGGCGUAAAGAGCUCGUAGGCGGCUUGUCACGUCGGAUGUGAAAGCCCGAGGCUUAACCUCGGGUCUGCAUUCGAUACGGGCUAGCUAGAGUGUGGUAGGGGAGAUCGGAAUUCCUGGUGUAGCGGUGAAAUGCGCAGAUAUCAGGAGGAACACCGGUGGCGAAGGCGGAUCUCUGGGCCAUUACUGACGCUGAGGAGCGAAAGCGUGGGGAGCGAACAGGAUUAGAUACCCUGGUAGUCCACGCCGUAAACGUUGGGAACUAGGUGUUGGCGACAUUCCACGUCGUCGGUGCCGCAGCUAACGCA